GAUGAACGCUGGCGGCGUGCCUAAUACAUGCAAGUCGAGCGAACGGACGAGAAGCUUGCUUCUCUGAUGUUAGCGGCGGACGGGUGAGUAACACGUGGAUAACCUACCUAUAAGACUGGGAUAACUUCGGGAAACCGGAGCUAAUACCGGAUAAUAUUUUGAACCGCAUGGUUCAAAAGUGAAAGACGGUCUUGCUGUCACUUAUAGAUGGAUCCGCGCUGCAUUAGCUAGUUGGUAAGGUAACGGCUUACCAAGGCAACGAUGCAUAGCCGACCUGAGAGGGUGAUCGGCCACACUGGAACUGAGACGCGGUCCAGACUCCUACGGGAGGCAGCAGUAGGGAAUCUUCCGCAAUGGGCGAAAGCCUGACGGAGCAACGCCGCGUGAGUGAUGAAGGUCUUCGGAUCGUAAAACUCUGUUAUUAGGGAAGAACAUAUGUGUAAGUAACUGUGCACAUCUUGACGGUACCUAAUCAGAAAGCCACGGCUAACUACGUGCCAGCAGCCGCGGUAAUACGUAGGUGGCAAGCGUUAUCCGGAAUUAUUGGGCGUAAAGCGCGCGUAGGCGGUUUUUUAAGUCUGAUGUGAAAGCCCACGGCUCAACCGUGGAGGGUCAUUGGAAACUGGAAAACUUGAGUGCGGAAGAGGAAAGUGGAAUUCCAUGUGUAGCGGUGAAAUGCGCAGAGAUAUGGAGGAACACCAGUGGCGAAGGCGACUUUCUGGUCUGUAACUGACGCUGAUGUGCGAAAGCGUGGGGAUCAAACAGGAUUAGAUACCCUGGUAGUCCACGCCGUAAACGAUGAGUGCUAAGUGUUAGGGGGUUUCCGCCCCUUAGUGCUGCAGCUAACGCAUUAAGCACUCCGCCUGGGGAGUACGACCGCAAGGUUGAAACUCAAAGGAAUUGACGGGGACCCGCACAAGCGGUGGAGCAUGUGGUUUAAUUCGAAGCAACGCGAAGAACCUUACCAAAUCUUGACAUCCUUUGACAACUCUAGAGAUAGAGCCUUCCCCUUCGGGGGACAAAGUGACAGGUGGUGCAUGGUUGUCGUCAGCUCGUGUCGUGAGAUGUUGGGUUAAGUCCCGCAACGAGCGCAACCCUUAAGCUUAGUUGCCAUCAUUAAGUUGGGCACUCUAAGUUGACUGCCGGUGACAAACCGGAGGAAGGUGGGGAUGACGUCAAAUCAUCAUGCCCCUUAUGAUUUGGGCUACACACGUGCUACAAUGGACAAUACAAAGGGCAGCGAAACCGCGAGGUCAAGCAAAUCCCAUAAAGUUGUUCUCAGUUCGGAUUGUAGUCUGCAACUCGACUACAUGAAGCUGGAAUCGCUAGUAAUCGUAGAUCAGCAUGCUACGGUGAAUACGUUCCCGGGUCU
rnacentral:rRNA from 1 species